rnacentral:rRNA from 1 species
GAUGAACGCUGGCGGCGUGCCUAACACAUGCAAGUCGAGCGAGAUUUAUGUGAGUGGAGACUUCGGUCAAAGCAAUCAUAAUGAAAGCGGCGGACGGGUGAGUAACGCGUGAGCAAUCUGCCCCAUACAAAGGGAUACCCACUGGAAACGGUGAUUAAUACCUUAUAAGACCACAAAGUCGCAUGGCUUAGGGGUCAAAGAUUUAUCGGUAUGGGAUGAGCUAGCGUCUGAUUAGCUAGUUGGUGAGGUAAUGGCUCACCAAGGCGACGAUCAGUAGCCGACCUGCGAGGGUGAACGGCCACACUGGAACUGGGACACGGUCCAGACUCCUACGGGAGGCAGCAGUGGGGAAUAUUGCACAAUGGGCGCAAGCCUGAUGCAGCAACGCCGCGUGAAUGAUGAAGGCCUUCGGGUCGUAAAGUUCUGUCCAAAGGGAAGAAUACAGUGACGGUACCUUUGGAGGAAGCCCCGGCUAACUACGUGCCAGCAGCCGCCGUAACAC